rnacentral:lncRNA from 1 species
GAAUCCAGAUGACAAAAAUAGAUUAAUUUUUUAUGUAGUGCACUGCGGUUAAUCCUUGUGCUCACAGUACACUUUAUUUAGAAUCACUGCAGAAUUCCUCCUCUGAUUUUUCUCCCUGAAAUUAGACUGUAAUGAUAUGCUUCAGACUUCACAGGAGCCUAAAGAUCUUAAACCUGUAUGUCCUGAGCUACCACAUCAGUCAGAAGCAUACCUUUCUUUUUCUUUACAGGCAUCUCUAAGCUGGCUCUGCUGUUCUCUGAGGAUGAAAACAGUUUCAAGCAGGCAUGCUCACAUGUCAAGAAAAGAAAAAGUCACAUCCACUGCUAUAAACCAAAAGGCUGACUGA